rnacentral:rRNA from 1 species
UGAGCAAUCUGCCCCUCACAUCGGAAUAACCAUUGGAAACGAUGGCUAAUACCGAAUAUGACUUCGGAUCGCAUGAUCUGAAGUGAAAGCUCCGGCGGUGAAGGAUGAGCUCGCGGCCUAUCAGCUUGUUGGUGAGGUAAUGGCUCACCAAGGCUUCGACGGGUAGCCGGCCUGAGAGGGUGACCGGCCACACUGGGACUGAGACACGGCCCAGACUCCG